AGAGCUAUAGCUCAGUGGUAGAGCACAUGCUUAGUAUGCAUGAGGUCCUGGGUUCAAUCCCCAGUAGCUCCA
rfam:Camelus ferus unplaced genomic scaffold scaffold429, whole genome shotgun sequence.